GAUGAAGAACGUAGCGAAAUGCGCUACGUACUGUGAAUUGCAGAAUUCAGUGAAUCAUCGAAUCUUUGAACGCACAUUGCGCCCGCUAGUAUUCUGGCGGGCAUGCCUGUUCGAGCGUCAUUUCAACCAUCAAGCCCUGUUUAGGCUUGUGUUGGGGCCCUGCGGUUGCCGCAGCCCCCUAAAUGCAGUGGCGGGCUCGUUGUCACUCCGAGCGCAGUAGCGUAUCUCGCUCUGGGCGUGGCGGCGGGUGCUAGCCGUGAAACACCCACUAAGGUUGACCUCGGAUCAGGUAGGAAUACCCGCUGAACUUAAGCAUAUCAAUAAGCGGAGGA
rnacentral:misc_RNA from 1 species